GAGUUUGAUCCUGGCUCAGGAUGAACGCUGGCGGCGUGCUUAACACAUGCAAGUCGAGCGGAGCACAUCGUUGGAAUCCUUCGGGAGGAAGAAGGUGUGGCUUAGCGGCGGACGGGUGAGUAACGCGUGGACAACCUGCCCUAUGCAGGGGGAUAACAUCCGGAAACGGGUGCUAAUACCGCAUAAGCGCACAGUACCGCAUGGUACGGUGUGAAAAGCUGAGGCGGCAUAGGAUGGGUCCGCGUUGGAUUAGGCAGUUGGCGGGGUAACGGCCCACCAAACCGACGAUCCAUAGCCGACCUGAGAGGGUGACCGGCCACAUUGGGACUGAGACACGGCCCAAACUCCUACGGGAGGCAGCAGUGGGGAAUAUUGCACAAUGGGCGCAAGCCUGAUGCAGCGACGCCGCGUGAGCGAAGAAGUAUUUCGGUAUGUAAAGCUCUAUCAGCAGGGAAGAAAAUGACGGUACCUGACUAAGAAGCUCCGGCUAAAUACGUGCCAG
rnacentral:rRNA from 1 species